AGAUUGAACGCUGGCGGCAGGCCUAACACAUGCAAGUCGAGCGGUAGAGAGGUGCUUGCACCUCUUGAGAGCGGCGGACGGGUGAGUAAUGCCUAGGAAUCUGCCUAGUGGUGGGGGAUAACGUUCGGAAACGGACGCUAAUACCGCAUACGUCCUACGGGAGAAAGCGGGGGACCUUCGGGCCUCGCGCCAUUAGAUGAGCCUAGGUCGGAUUAGCUAGUUGGUGAGGUAAUGGCUCACCAAGGCGACGAUCCGUAACUGGUCUGAGAGGAUGAUCAGUCACACUGGAACUGAGACACGGUCCAGACUCCUACGGGAGCAGCA
rnacentral:rRNA from 1 species